GGUGGCGGCGGCGGCGGCCCCCGCGGCCGCGCUGAAUGAGGGCAGGGAGGGAGCGGAGGGAGGGAGCGAAGGGCUGGCCGGGAGCCUGGCGGCGGCAGCGGCGGCGGCUCCGGGGAUGGUCCACGCAGCGGCGCCGUCCCGCGUCGUUCUCCUCGGAGCGAGCCUGAGCCGCGGCGGCGGGCGGAGGGGGUCCCCGCCGCCGGUCUGGGUGCGGGGCGCCGGGAAAGUCCGCGGAGAAGCCGGCCCGCAGGGAGCCGCCGCCGGCCUGGGGCGCGGGAGGGGGCUGCGCCGCCGGGCGCCGAGGCGCUGCUGCCUGGAAUGAGGAGGAGGAGGAAGAGGGGAUGUGCCUGCCUGCCUGCCUGCCUGCCUGCCUGCCGCCGCCGCGCCUGGAGAUGGCACUUUGUGCGCCUAACGAGAUGGGACUGAAUGGGGUCGCCAGCCUCCUCCGCGCGGCCGAGCGGGAGAAGCUACAGCAGCCUCAGCGCUGAUACUUGGAGGGCGGCUGCCUUGUGGUUGUUAUUAUUUUUUCUAUAUAUAUUUUUUUAUAUUUGGGGGACGAAGAGUGUUUUUCUUUUUUUUUUUUUCUUUUUUUUUUUUUUUUUUCUUCGGGUGCAAAGCCCGGACUUUGCAAAACAAUCUCCGCCCCCACGAGGAUAUUUAAUCUGCAGCAGAAAUCGCUACUCGCGGAGGCAAACUUGCGAAGGGAAGCGGGGUGCGGGGGCAGGCGGGCACCCCCGGCCCGCAGGAUGCGUGCCCCCUCCCCGGCCGCUGCUCCUGGGACGAGGCUUUCGGCUGCACCGAGCGGGACUGGACUUCUUACGGACACGCUCACCCAUCUGAGGGCGAUUCGGGCAUAAACAGCGACACAAACUCUGAUUUGGUGCUGGAAGCUGCCUCUGCCGCCGAACAGCUGCUCGCCCUCUGCUUCUGUCCUGUUUUCAGAAGGGGAUCCUGAGCUCUUUUGCCUUUUUUUUUUUUUGUUGUUGUUGUUAAUUGUUGUUGCAUGAAUUUUGUUUUACGUGGUUGUCUUUUCCGGCUGGCUUGGCUGUUUUGGGGUCUUGUGGACUACUGACUGCCGUAACAGCACCGCCACCUCUCGCCAUGGCCAGCCCCACAGAUAACAACGAGGGCUUCUUCUCGGAUGUCAGAAAGGUGGGUUACUUGCGCAAACCCAAGAGCAUGCAUAAACGCUUUUUCGUGCUGAGGGCAGCCAGCGAGUCUGGACCCGCCCGGCUGGAGUAUUACGAGAAUGAGAAGAAAUGGAGACACAAGUCAGGGGCCCCCAAGCGCUCCAUCCCACUGGAAAGCUGCUUCAACAUCAACAAACGGGCUGACUCCAAGAACAAGCACCUGGUGGCCCUCUACACCAAGGACGAGCACUUUGCCAUUGCAGCUGACAGCGAGCCUGAGCAGGAGAGCUGGUACCAAGCGCUGCUGCAGUUGCACAACCGGGCCAAGGGCCACCACCACCUCCACCACCAUCACCACCACCACCACAGCGAUGUCACCUUUGGAGGCAGCAGCGUGGGGCUGGGGGAAGCAGGAGAGGACAGCUAUGGCGAGGUAGCCCCUGGCCCGGCUUUUAAGGAGGUUUGGCAAGUAAUCCUGAAGCCUAAGGGGCUAGGCCAGACAAAGAACCUGAUUGGCAUCUACCGCCUGUGCCUGACUAACAAGACCAUCAGCUUUGUGAAGCUGAACUCUGAUGCGGCUGCUGUGGUGCUGCAGCUGCUCAAUAUCCGCCGCUGCGGUCACUCCGAGAACUUCUUCUUCAUUGAGGUGGGGCGCUCAGCUGUGACUGGGCCCGGUGAGUUCUGGAUGCAAGUGGAUGACUCGGUGGUGGCGCAGAACAUGCACGAAACCAUCCUGGAGGCCAUGCGAGCCAUGAGUGAGGAAUUCCGGCCCCGCAGCAAGAGCCAGUCCUCCUCCAACUGUUCCAACCCCAUUUCUGUGCCCCUCCGUAGUAGGCACCACAUCAACAACCCUCCGCCCAGCCAAGUGGGGCUCAGUCGCCGCUCCAGGACUGAGAGCGUCACAGCCACCUCUCCUGCCGGCGGAGGGGGUGGAGGCACGGGUGGCAAACCCAGCUCUUUCCGGGUUCGUGCAUCAAGCGAUGGGGAAGGCACGAUGUCAAGGCCUGCCUCAGUGGAUGGUAGCCCAGUGAGUCCAAGCGCCAACCGGACACACUCGCAUAGACAUCGUGGCAACUCCAGGCUCCAUCCUCCACUCAACCACAGCCGUUCCAUCCCGAUGCCUUCCUCGCGCUGCUCUCCUUCAGCCACCAGCCCAGUCAGCCUGUCAUCAAGUAGCACCAGUGGGCAUGGCUCCACGUCGGACUGCCUGUUUCCACGAAGGUCUAGUGCUUCUGUUUCUGGCUCCCCUAGCGAUGGUGGAUUUAUUUCUUCUGAUGAGUAUGGUUCUAGCCCGUGUGACUUUCGCAGCUCUUUUCGCAGUGUCACCCCAGAUUCGUUGGGGCACACCCCGCCAGCUAGGGGUGAUGAAGAGCUCAACUACAUCUGCAUGGGGGGGAAGGCCACCUCAUCUUGCUGCAGCUUGGCAGCUCCCAAUGGCCACUUCAUCCCACGCACCUGCCACCCGCAGCAGCAGCCCCGCUACCCUAGUACGCCGUGCUGUCCCCGAGGUGGCAGCGAGGAUGUUGCCGACUUGGAGAAGGCCUUCAGAAAGCGGACUCACUCUGCAGGUACUUCACCCACCAUCUCCCACCAGAAGACCCCCUCGCAGUCUUCAGUGGCCUCCAUUGAGGAGUACACAGAGAUGUUGCCUUCUUACCCCUGUGGCGGUGGCCGGCUGCCCUCCUACCGGCACUCUGCCUUUGUGCCCACUCACUCCUACCCAGAGGAGUGUCUGGAGAUGCACCACCUGGAUGGCGGCCACCAUCGGACCAACUCUGCCCCUCACACAGAUGAUGGCUACAUGCCCAUGUCACCUGGCGUGGCCCCUGUCCCCAGCGGCGGGGUGCCCCCCAAGGGCGGUGACUACAUGCCCAUGAGUCCUAAGAGUGUGUCGGCCCCACAGCAGAUCAUCAACCCCGGCAGGGGGGGCCGCCACCCUCCAGCCACGGUGGACUCCAACGGCUACAUGAUGAUGUCCCCCAGCGGCAGCUACUCCCCGGACAGUGGCUCCGCAGGCUACGGCAAGAUCUGGACGAAUGGCGCCGGCCACCACCCGAAGCUCUCAGUGGAGAGCAAUGAGGGGAAGCUCCCUUGUGGCGGCAGUGACUACAUCAACAUGUCCCCAGCCAGCGGCUCCACCACCAGCACGCCACCCGACUGCUACUUUGGGGGUGCGGGGCAGCCGGGCGUCGAGGAGGCUGCUGCCGCGGCCCACCACAAACCCAUCUACUCUUACUUCUCGCUGCCACGCUCCUUCAAGCACGUGCACCGGCGCGGUGGUGGGGCAGCGGGUGAGGAGGGCAGCCCCCAGCCCCGUGUUGCGCUUGGUUCCAACCGCCUCCUCUAUGCUGCCGAGGACUCGUCCUCCUCUACCAGCAGCGACAGCCUGGGUGGCGGUGGUGGUGGCCCUGACGGUGUCCCCCCGUCCCACCCGCAGCCGCCGCGCAAGGUGGACACGGCCGUGCAGACCAAGGGCCGCCUGGCGCGACCCACACGCCUGUCGCUUGGCGGCCCCAAGGCCAGCACCCUGCCGCGGGCCCGGGAGCAGCCCCCGCUACUGCUGCCCCCGGAGCCCAAGAGCCCGGGGGAGUAUGUCAACAUCGAGUUCAUCGCGGGUGACAAGCCACCCUUCCCCGCGGCCGCCCUGGGCCUGCCACGGCCGCCAGGGAGUGAGGCCGCUGAGGAGUACAUGAACAUGGAGCUGGGCCCGCGGGCGGCCCCUGCGGCCCCCUCCGGCCGGGACUAUGUGACUAUGCGGCUGGGGGGCUCCUGCUCCGACAGCCCCUCGCCCUCCUCGCCAGCCCUUCUGCUGGGUUACGCCGAUAAACCCCCGGCGGUGGCUUCCCCGGAGCUGGCGGCAGCGGCGCCUUCGCGCUCCUCGUCCUCCUCCCUGCUCGGGGGGCCUGGCGCGGGCAGCGCCUUCACCCGCGUCAGCCUCAGCCCCGGCCGCACGCCCAGCGCCAAAGUGAUCCGUGCUGACCCGCAGGGCGGCCGCCGGCGGCACAGCUCGGAGACCUUCUCGUCCACACCAACUGCUGCCCGUGGAGCGCCAGGGGGCUGCCCCGGGGCACCGUUCCCCUGCGGGAGCGCAGGGGGAGCCGAGGAGGUGAAGCGCCACAGCUCGGCCUCCUUUGACAACGUGUGGUUGCGGCCCGCCGCCGGGGAGGCAGCCGCAGCCCCCGCUGCCCGCAGGGAGCCCGGGGCUGCCCCCGCAUUGGAGAACGGGCUCAAUUACAUUGACCUGGACCUGGUGAAGGAUUUUGGGCACCGCCGCCACCACCACCACCAUCAUCACCUGCACCCCGCCGCCGAGGGCGCCUCCCUGUCGGGGGGGAAGCCCCCGCCACCGCCGCAGCCCAAGUCCCCGAGCCAGCCUCGUGGGAGCGGCCACCCCAGCGAUGACUCGAGCGCGUACGCCAGCAUCAGCUUCCAGAAGCGGGAGGAGAUGUAGGAGCCAGGCGACAGCCAGGGAAGGUCUGCUGAGGCAGGGCCUGUCAUUUUAUUCUGUCUGCUCAGCAGCCAGCAAAGCGAGGCCUUCACCUGCGGCUGAGGCUGCCGCGCUCUUGCAGUGCAAGCAAUACAAAUAGCCUCUAUUGCAGGCUGUUGCACCCGCUCCAGUGCCAUGCUGGGCCGGGUCCAAACCCUCAACUUGCUGCCGAUAUUCAAAGUCUUCAUAAGGCUUAGAUCAGUGAGCCUCACCGUGCUUAUAAACGUCGACUGAAGCCGUCAGGCCUUCUCCCUCUCCUCCGUCCCAGUAGCUGUUUCUGCCGAAACAUGCCCAGAAGUGCUGGCUGUAGGAUUUUUUCAAGCCUGCAUCAUAAAGGUUAUAACCAGGAAUACGAUGUAUGUACCAGCUUCCUUUCCGCUGUGUUUAACUUUGAAUCACACGUGUAAUUUCUGUCAUUACCUUGUAAUCUGUCUUGCUGUCUCUACUUGCUGAUUGGAAUUUAAGAAUAACAGAGAGCUUUUUAAGAAGCCCAUCUUUCAUUAUUCUGUUAGAACUGGAUCUUUUUUAACAUCAAGUGAUAAUUGCUUAAAAAGGAAAUGACAUGAUCUGCCUCUUUUUUUUCUUUUUUUCUUUUUUUAUCAUCUCUGCAAUGGUUGCAGGGGUGUGCAACAUGCUUUGUGUGCCGUGUGAGCUGUGGACCUGGCUUCUCGGUGCAGUGGAGCAGACAGACAUGGUCACUGCCCUGAAAACUGCCUGAAACUUCAGCAUUUUGAAGAGGGAGGAAGAGCUCCCAACUCUUUCUGACCCGGGUCAUUUAACUUUGAAUCCUCAGUGAUUUCAGCAAUGAUGAAACUGGAUAGCCUGGGAGGUUCUUCUUUUUGAGGGCACCUGAGAACACCAGGCCAGGCAACUGACACAGACAAGCAAAAGAUUGACGACCUAUACAACCUCAGCAAAUCCUUCUUUGAACUCAUGGGUAUCAAGACUCUAAAUGUUUCAUGUUACCACAACUAGGACCUCACCUCCUCCUCCUCCUCUUCCUCUGUAAAUGGGUACGAUGCAUCCAGUUCAGUUUGUUUACUUUACACAAACCUCAGGAGUUAGUUGACUGAGCUGCACAUCCUGUGUUGUGCCAAGCAGAAGCACUGUGACACCUGGACAAUGAGUCUCUCUUACUUCAUCCUCUACCAUAAGGACUUAGCUGGCCACAAUGAACUGAUGUGCCCACCACUAUGUCAUGGUGAGAAUGGGUAUUUUACUAGCACAUUUACACAACUUCAUUUGCUGCUGAAAACCUGUAUGACAAAUCAUCAUUGUAAAUUAUUACAUACAAAACUUAAUGUUGGUUGAAGAGUAUUAAAUAUUUAACAUAGGUUUUGAUUUAUACAUGUACUUUUUUAAUUAAAAUGUAACUUUUCCUACAGCACAUCUUUUUUGAUGUGGAACUGAGGUAUACUAUAUUCUGUUGUAAACAGAGUGGGAAACCUGCUUAAAACAAGGCUUCUAAGAAUAGAGUUAGGGUACUAUUCUUGUUUUAAGAUUGUAAUUCAGAAAAUAAUAUAAUACAAGUCAUUGGUCCCUGGGCCUUGAUUGUACAGUCAUAUUUACUGAUACUAUCAGUUGUAAGAUAACCCUGAUGUUGAGCUGAGUUCUUUCCAAAAGAAAAGUAAUUUUGUACUCCUUGUAAAAUAAGUCUGUAUUAACUACAAUGAAGACAAAAUUUACUGUACAUGGUAUUUACAAGUGUCAACUUGAAUUCAUCAAUUGCACAGGAACUGAGAAAAAAAAAUCAGAAAAAAAAGAAAUCAAAGUCUUCCAUUGUAUAUAUUGUAAAGAAAAGGAAAAAAAAAAAAACAACCAACAGAAAACCACAAAACAAAAUGAACACAAAAAAGGGUGAACUUUUCAAAUUAACUCUUUCCCUGGAAUGAAAAUGUGGGUGUUUGUAAAUUCUGGAAAUCUCUUUCUAUAUGUAAUAAACUAGAUACUGUUUUAUCUGCU